rnacentral:rRNA from 1 species
GUCUACGGCCAUAUCACCCUGAACAUGCCCGAUCUCGUCUGAUCUUGGAAGCUAAGCAGGGUCAGGCCUGAUUAGUGCUUGGAUGGGAAAAUAACCCAAAUGCCCAUCAACUGUUGAAU